rnacentral:lncRNA from 1 species
GUUGGAAAGAAAUGUCUCGCCUUAAAGAGAAUUUUCACAUUCUAUCUCUCAAAAAAAGAGGCUUGUUAUAAAUUUUAAAAGCUAAGAUGCCAAACUCUAGAAAGAAUUUGUAUUUUAGUUUUCUAAUUUAUCAAAGUUGUGUUUUUUUAGCUAGUGAAAAGAUACACUCUUUCACUUGGAUUCUUCUUCGUAAACUAUUAGUUUUACUUUUGUGUUUAACUUCCUGUCUAUGCAGGCACUUUGUUGGUGUGAUACUCAGUCAUCAUUGGCAGUA